GGCAUGAGUGAAGAGCGAAUCAUGCUUAGUUCUCAUAAGAAUAUGAUGUGUUUUAUUUGCUUUGAAUAUUAUUUAUUUUAUUCUGCUCAUAAGACUAACGCAAAGUUUUUCUUAAUAUUGUUUGGUUUAAAGGGCCUAUAGUGGUUCCAAGUUGUAGGUUGACUUUGUUUGACUUAGUUUGACUGUAAUUUCGUUUGGUUUGACUUUUUAAGUUGACUUGUUUUAAAUGGUUUAUAAAGAUAGUCUUCCGCUUUGUGUGAGUCUUUGAUAUUUGCCUUAGCCGUUUUCACGGUGGCAGUAAUGUCUUAGAUUUUCCUAUUUCAUAUUUUUAAAAGGGUAAAAUGGGUAUUUUAACGGAAAGGAAUUUCUAGGGUGUUACAGCAAUUGAUAUGGAUGAUCGAUUCCUUGUACAAUGAUUCGUAGUCAACACAUGAGACCAUUGUCUCUCAGCUGAUGAAGGCCUUAGGGGAGUUGGUGCAUCUUAGUGAUCCUACCUGGAAGGUGGGUACAAUUUCAAUUUGGCUGAGGAGGUCGUUUCCUGUGCAACAGUCAGACACGUGCUCGAGUGGUGCAAUUAUGCUAGCAACUAUUAAACAUUGCGCACGUAGCUUUGAUGCAAAUUUUCAAAUGGACAAAAUAUCCACCCUGAGGACCAAUUUAUUUCUGCAAGAUGUUUACAGCGAUUUCAACCAGCAGAAGCCUCAUUUGGAGGAUGUCUUGCCAAAAGAUCAACGAGGCAGUAGGAGGACUGGUUCUCAAAUGACUUCGUAGGGGUCCCGCUAAACAAAACUAACUUGUAGAGGCGUCUUAAGACCUAUCAAUUUUUUUCUUAACUAUUUAUAAUGUGUCUCAUAUACAUUUGCCCAUACUUUUAGCAUCACAUAACAUUGAAGGGGUACCUUCAAUUGGUGCACAAUGGUUGAGUUAUUGUGGUUUUUCAGCAGUAUGCAGCAAAUGAAUUAGGUUGCAAAGUUGUAAACAAUGAUGUGACGGGUCCUUGUUGAAUUUCUAGAUGCUAAAUAUAAGUUUUUUUUUUUUAUGCAAAUUAGAAGCAUUUAAAAGAAAAUUAGUUCAUAAUGUCCAAUUU